GAUGAACGCUGGCGGCGUGCUUAACACAUGCAAGUCGAACGAAGCAUUUCCGACAGUUUUUUUCGUAAUGAAGUUGCUUAUGACUGAGUGGCGGACGGGUGAGUAACGCGUGUGUAACAUGCCUUGUACUGGGGGAUAGCAUCGGGAAACGGCUGUUAAUACCACAUAAGCGCACAAAGUAGCAUGACAGGGUGUGAAAAACUCCGGUGGUAUAAGAUGGACCCGCGUCUGAUUAGCUAGUUGGGGAGAUAACAGCCCACCAAGGCGACGAGCAGUAGCCGGCCUGAGAGGGUGACCGGCCACAUUGGGCCUGAGACACGGCCCAGACUCCUACGGGGAGCAGCAGUGGGGAAUAUUGCCCAAUGGAGGAAACUCUGAUGCAGCGACGCCGCGUGAGUGAGGAAGUUAUUCGUUAUGUAAAGCUCUAUCUUCGGGGAAGAUAAUGACGGUACCUGACGAAGAAGCUCCGGCUAACUACGUG
rnacentral:rRNA from 1 species